UGGUUAAGUGGGGUGGGGGGAGGAACUAUGGGCUAUUUAGAUACUUACACACACGGAACAAAUUAAGUGAUGCACAGAACAAUGAAAUGCGGUGAGAACGCCACAUAAAUUGUGAUAGGAUUUGGUGUGCGCCCUGAGAACCUCAGCGACCAGAGCGGCUGAAUUUGAAUAUGAUGUUAACAGAUUUGAUGCACUCCCAUGAGAACCUCAACGACCAGAGUGGUCAGAAUUGAAUAUUGCUGUGCUAACAGGUAUGAAGUGUAUUUGAAGUUAUUUUGGAACGAUUAUUGAAAAGGAAUUGAUUUAGACGUGCUUUAUGUGAUUUGACUUUGUUAAUGUUUGUAUUUUGUGUAUUUUUGGGACAGAUUGCCA